rnacentral:rRNA from 1 species
CCCUUAGAUGUUCUGGGCCGCACGCGCGCUACACUGAAGCUAUCAACACGUUUUCCCUCCCUGAGAAGGGCGGGUAACCUUUUGAAUCAGCUUCGUGGUAGGGAUCGGGGCUUGCAAUUGUUCCCCGUGAACCAGGAAUUCCUAGUAGACGCGAGUCAUAAGCUCGCAUCGAUUAAGUCCCUGCCCUUUGUACACACCGCCCGUCGCUACUACCGAUUGAACGUUUUAGUGAGGCAUUUGGACCGACGCAUCUCAGUUUAACCGCUGGUUUGUGUUGGAAAGACUUCCAAACUUGAGCGUUUAGAGGAAGUAAAAGUCGUAACA